UUGACAUCCAGAGAAUUUAGCAGAGAUGCUUUAGUGCCUUCGGGAACUCUGAGACAGGUGCUGCAUGGCUGUCGUCAGCUCGUGUUGUGAAAUGUUGGGUUAAGUCCGCAACGAGCGCAACCCUUAUCCUUUGUUGCCAGCACGUAAUGGUGGGAACUCAAAGGAGACUGCCGGUGAUAAACCGGAGGAAGGUGGGGAUGACGUCAAGUCAUCAUGGCCCUUACGAGUAGGGCUACACACGUGCUACAAUGGCGCAUACAAAGAGAAGCGACCUCGCGAGAGCAAGCGGACCUCAUAAAGUGCGUCGUAGUCCGGAUUGGAGUUUGCAACUCGACUCCAUGAAGUCGGAAUCGCUAGUAAUCGUAAAUCAGAAUGUUACGGUGAAUACGUUCCCGGGCCUUGUACACACCGCCCGUCACACCAUGGGAGUGGGUUGCAAAAGAAGUAGAUAGCUUAACCUUCGGGAGGGCGUUUACCACUUUGUGAUUCAUGACUGGGGUGAAGUCGUAACAAGGUAAGCGUAGUGCU
rnacentral:rRNA from 1 species